AUUGAACGCUGGCGGCAGGCCUAACACAUGCAAGUCGAGCGAGCGGCGGACGGGUGCGUACUGUAUGGGGACUGCCCGAUAGAGGGGGAUAACUACUGGAAACGGUAGCUAAUACCGCAUACUAUCGGAUAACCCAUAUGGGAUUAGCUAGUAGGUGAGGAAAUGGCUCACCUAGGCGACGAUCCCUAGCUGGUCUGAGAGGAGGAUCAGGCAACCGGGGACUGGGAAACGGCCCAGACCCCUAGGGAGGCAGCAUGGGGGAAUAUUGCACACGGGGCGCAAGCCUGAUGCGGCCAUGCCGCGUGUAUGAAGAGGGCCCUAGGGUUGUAAAGUAUUUUCAGUCGGGAGGCGUUACCGACAGAAGAAGCACCGGCUAACUCCGUGCCAGCAGCCCGGUAAUAC
rnacentral:rRNA from 1 species